rnacentral:rRNA from 1 species
GAUGAACGCUAGCGAUAGGCUUAACACAUGCAAGUCGAGGGGCAGCAUGGUCUUAGCUUACUAAGACUGAUGGCGACCGGCGCACGGGUGCGUAACGCGUAUGCAACUUGCCUCACAGAGGGGGAUAACCCGUCGAAAGACGGACUAAUACCGCGUACACUCCAUCUUGGGCAUCCAAGGUAGAGGAAAUGAAAUUCGCUGUGAGAUAGGCAUGCGUCCCAUUAGCUAGUUGGUGAGGUAACGGCUCACCAAGGCGACGAUGGGUAGGGGAACUGAGAGGUUGAACCCCCACACUGGUACUGAGACACGGACCAGACUACUACGGGAGGCAGCAGUGAGGAAUAGUGGUCAAUGGGCGAGAGCCUGAACCAGCCAAGUCGCGUGAAGGAUGACUGUCUUAUGGAUUGUAAACUUCUUUUAUACGGGAAUAACAAGAGUCACGUGUGACUCCCUGCAUGUACCGUAUGAAUAAGCAGCGGCUAACUCCGUG